rnacentral:rRNA from 1 species
UACGUAGGGUGCAAGCGUUUGUCCGGAAUUAUUGGGCGUAAAGAGCUCGUAGGCGGUUUGUCGCGUCUGCUGUGAAAUCCCGAGGCUCAACCUCGGGUCUGCAGUGGGUACGGGCAGACUGGAGUGCGGCAGGGGAGACUGGAAUUCCUGGUGUAGCGGUGAAAUGCGCAGAUAUCAGGAGGAACACCAAUGGCGAAGGCAGCUCGCUGGAACGGUACUGACGCUGGAGGCGCGAAAGCGUGGGGAGCGAACAGG